rnacentral:lncRNA from 1 species
UAGGCGUACAAGUUGAAGGCAUGUAGCAAGUAAAAGAAAAGAGGCCUACAAAUGGGCUGUAUACAGUCGUAUACAAUUAUAUACACGAGUAUACACCCACUGUAUACAGUUGAAGCGGUGACACAAUGGGUCAAAAAUUAACAUACGUGUUCAGAAGCUCAACUGGACUAUAUACAUUUAUUAUAUGGUCAGAAAUACAGGGAAAUAGGCCGAAAUACAGCCUAUAUACAGAAGGAUA